rnacentral:rRNA from 1 species
CACCAAUUCUUCUUCUUCUUCUUCUUCUUCUUCUUCUCUCCUAUAGGGAGUUUUCUUUUUCUUUUUCUGGACCUGGACCUGGACCUCACCCUCGGUACCGCCGGCGGCAGGUGGAGGUGGAGGUAAUGGAGGAGGCAGGUACAGGCGGCCGAGCGGCUCGGCCGGAGAAGAGGAGCGGCACCGCGAGGGAGGGCGGAGACGAGGGCGGGCAGGCGGAGGCGAGGAGGGAGGGCCGGGGGUGGAGGGUGGAGUGGCGGCUGCCGUGUCUACUCAGCCCUAAGCACCACCAGUGGAAGAUGUUCGACCACGGGAACCUCCUGGGGGCGCGUCUCCAGCGGCGCGUGGAGGUUAAGGAGGUCCCUGCGCUGUACCUGUAUGUGCCAGCGUAGAUGUACUUGGUCGUCCCCUAGUUGCGAGUCAUGUCACCAGGCGCGUUUCUACGUUAUCGCAUGCGCCUGACCGAGUCCUCUCUGGGAGCGAAGAGACUAUAUGAGCAGGUCUAAAGCGGUCGCGAUUCACCCGUACGAAAAGGAGCCGAGUUUGACGCGAUGUUUGUUAGAGAACAAGUCAACCUUCCUCCCUCAACAGUAGAAGGAGACCACCUUGGAUCGUACGCGCGAAGUGGUGACUGGGGUAGCCUCACCUCCCUCUUCGAACUUCGAUCCUUUGCGGAACUUUGGCUUCGUGGACCUCUAUGGAGACUUCCUGCUUUCGAAAACGAGGAACUACAAUCCUUACUGAUACUUACCCUGUAACCCGUAAAACUUCCUCGGUUCUCCGGAUUGCACCUGGCGAAGUCUUCGUGAAGUAAACCCGACAGCCUCGUCCUCUAACUAAGCUGCCUGGGAGACGUACCUCAUCUGUUUCUCUUCUGUCUGUAUAAUUACAUGACGUGCCCACCGUAUUCUACGCUGCACAUGAGUUGCUAAAACUCCCUCUUCCCAAAGCCCUUAGACAUGUGAGACUUCCCCCCGCACAGGUUGAUGGAGUUCUCGGUUCCCUCGCGCCUCACCCACCCAUUGAACAAACAGAAGCUGCUGGCCGACAGGGACGGUGGUCGGUUCAAACGUCUCCGUCCUCUUCUUCCCCCACGGCUGUUGCCCCUAGACAGCAGCAGAGCCACCGACCCCGCCACGAUGCACACGCCCAGCCUCCACCUCCUCGACUCCGUGGCGUUGACGCGGUCAUAGCUGACGUUGUCCGAGAUGGACACGACACCACCCACGAACUUCCUCGACUCCCCGACGACGACGUGCCUCACGUACCCACGCGGUGCCGACGCCGGCGACGACGGCCCCGUGGUCUCUAUACUGUUCACCGUAGACAUGGCGCUGCUGCGGAGCCAGUAGAGAUCGCCUCGACUCGGCUCGACUCGGCUCGCAGUAGGUCAGGUUCAGGUCAGAUCAUCAACGAGCUAAUGUCUUCCAAAUGUUCAUCGAGAAAGAGAGACAAAGAGAGAAUGAUGCAUGGAUGAUGAACACAAUGUGUGUUAUAUCCUAUCCUUCGUUGUUGUGAUUCACCGACCUCAUUUUAAGAAAACACGGAAGUUUAAGUCAUCCUAAUGAACACAGAUAAAGACACCCACCAUGGUGGUAAAAAGAACGUAAGACUAGACAGACGUGAAAGCCACGUAGAAAAAGGGGGGAUGAAAAUUAACUAUCGUACGUCACCUUCACGUCUCA